rnacentral:rRNA from 1 species
UUUAAUUGAAGAGUUUGAUCAUGGCUCAGAUUGAACGCUGGCGGCAGGCCUAACACAUGCAAGUCGAACGGUAGCUGCGAGCAGCUUGCUGCUCUGCUGACGAGUGGCG